rnacentral:pre_miRNA from 1 species
AGAAUAUAAGAACCCGUUUCUUAACUUUUAACUAAAAAAACUAAGAACCGGUUCUUAGCUUUUUUAGUUAAAAAUUAAGAGACGUGUUAUAUAUUCC